GUGGGGAAUAUUCCGCAAUGGACGAAAGUCUGACGGAGCAACGCCGCGUGAGUGAUGAAGGUUUUCGGACUGUAAAGCUCUGUUGUUUGGGACGAAAGUGCCUGUUGCGAACAGUUACGGGUAUUGACGGUACUAAACGAGGAAGCCACGGCUAACUACGUGCCAGCAGCCGCGGUAAUACGUAGGUGGCAAGCGUUGUCCGUAAUUAUUGGGCGUAAAGAGCAUGUAGGCGGGAAUCUAAGUCUGUUGUUAAAAUGCGGGGCUCAACCCCGUAUUGCGAUGGAAACUGGGUUUCUUGAGUGCAGGAGAGGAAAGGGGAAUUCCCAGUGUAGCGGUGAAAUGCGUAGAUAUUGGGAGGAACACCAGUGGCGAAGGCGCCUUUCUGGACUGUGUCUGACGCUGAGAUGCGAAAGCCAGGGUAGCGAACGGGAUUAGAUACCCGUGUAGUCC
rnacentral:rRNA from 1 species